AUUGAACGCUGGCGGCAGGCCUAACACAUGCAAGUCGAGCGAGCGGCGGACGGGUGAGUAAUGUAUGGGGACUGCCCGAUAGAGGGGGAUAACUACUGGAAACGGUAGCUAAUACCGCAUACUAUCGGAUAACCCAUAUGGGAUUAGCUAGUAGGUGAGGUAAUGGCUCACCUAGGCGACGAUCCCUAGCUGGUCUGAGAGGAUGAUCAGCCACACUGGGACUGAGACACGGCCCAGACUCCAAGGGAGGAAGCAGGGGGGAAUAGUGCACAAUGGGCGAAAGCCGGAUGCAGCCAGGCCGCGGGUAUGAAGAGGGCCCUAGGGUUGUAAAGGACUUUCAGUCGGGAGGCGUUCCCGACAGAAGAAGCACCGGCUAACUCCGUGCCAGCAGCCGCGGUAAUAC
rnacentral:rRNA from 1 species